CAUUAUCUCUUUACAUGUACAUGUCCACACUAGCUAUUACAUAACUCUUCUUCUUGCAAACCCUGCUGGACUCCCUCUGAACUCUGAACCUGCAAACCUGGGGGAUAGGGGAGAGGGAUGAGCUAUACAAGCCCAAUGAGCAGAACUAGAAACCAUAAGUUGAAAACAUGAUCUCAUGGAAUGCACUACAGCACAUCAUCUCAG
rnacentral:lncRNA from 1 species